rnacentral:rRNA from 1 species
AGGAUUCCCCUAGUAACGGCGAGUGAAGCGGGAAGAGCUCAAAUUUGUAAUCUGGCGGUCUCCGGCCGUCCGAGUUGUAGUCUGGAGAAGCGUCUUCCGUGCCGGACCGUGUACAAGUCCCUUGGAACAGGGCGUCGUAGAGGGUGAGAAUCCCGUCUCUGACACGGACUACCGGGGCUCUGUGAUGCGCUCUCGAAGAGUCGAGUUGUUUGGGAAUGCAGCUCAAAACGGGUGGUAAAUUCCAUCUAAAGCUAAAUAUUGGCGAAAGACCGAUAGCGAACAAGUACCGUGAGGGAAAGAUGAAAAGCACUUUGGAAAGAGAGUUAAACAGUACGUGAAAUUGUUGAAAGGGAAACGCUUGAAGUCAGUCGCGUCUUCCGAGACUCAGCCGGGUUUGCACCCGGUGUACUUCUCGGUGUCGACGGGCCAGCAUCGAUUUCGACCGUCGGAGAAAGGCUCUGGGAAUGUGGCACCUUUGGGUGUGUUAUAGCCCUCUGUCGUAUGCGACGGUCGGGAUCGAGGACCGCAGCGUGCCCUUCACCGGGCCGGGGUUCGCCCACGUAACGCGCUUAGGAUGCUGGCGUAAUGGCUUUAAGCGACCCGUCUUGAAACACGGACCAC